GGAGAGAUGUCCGAGUGGUUGAUGGAAAUAGUCUUGAAAACUAUCGAGCCCGCAAGGGUUCCGAGGGUUCGAAUCCCUCUCUCUCCGCCA
rnacentral:tRNA from 1 species